CCCCUCCUCUCUUCUACAGCCUGCAACCUCCUCUCUUUUCUCUGCAAACUGUCUGUUUCAUAAACCCUAAUUAGGGUUUCCAUGAAAAAAGACCAACUACAAACUUUGUAGAUCUGCAAAACAGCCAUAAAAAUGGUCCUCUUUCUAUUCUUCCACGGCUUUCUUGAACUGCAUGGGUUUUGAUCUAUCAGAUCUGUGUUUUAUCAUAUUGUCUUUGCGGUUCAAUAAAGCUGUGGGAAGAUAGAGACAGGAUCAAACCAGAAGAAGCAAGAAAGUUACAUUAUUUCUUGAUUUUUAUUUCAUUUUCUUGAUCUUUAAUUAUCUGAAAUUUCUGCUUGAUUUUCUUAUGUAGGUGUGGUUUUGAUUUAUAUGAGUUCUAUAUGUUUGAUAUGAAUUUUAGAGUAUACAUAAACCUGCGCUGAAAACCAAAUAUGUAAUUCGGUACGGUCUUAAACCGGAUAGAGUUGGUUUUUGGUUUAAUUGGUUUGAGACCGAAUAACCAACAUCCCUAUCAAGACUUGGAAGGUGAAAUAAUUAUUGAUUCAUUGAUCGACAUGGCCAAAGGUUUCUUUGGUGUUUCUAUUCUGCUCUCUCUCUCUCUCUCUCUCUCUCUCUUUGGUGUCUCUCUCUCUCUCUCUCUCUCUCUCUGUAUUCAGAAGUCUGUAACUACUGGAAUUGGAUUGUUUAUUGGAUGUAUGUACUCUUGUUUAAUUUAUAUUUUAAUUCAUCAAUUUUGUCAUCUAACUUGGAGGUAUGUAUGAAUUUAUAGUAAAUUGGUUAUGGGUUCCCUUUAUUUGAUGUCAAAAGAGAAAAACAAAACAGAAAAAUAUCUGUCAUAAUUCAUAACGGAAAUUAAUUAUUGAGAUCUAAAUGAUGAUUAAUAAUGUAAAAAUUAUGAAUACUUUUAGCCUUUAAAUAUGUAUAAUUAUUUCCCUGGAAAAAAGCAUCAAAAUUGAAUUUUAAUGAAUUUUGUAGGGUACCAAUCUAUAUUGUAUGUAUAUGGACCACAAGAAUGCAAGUAAUUUCCCUCUUUCUUAUAUCGAAUCCCUCUCUCUCUAGUAAGUUAGCUCAUACAAUUUUAAAGCCAUUCAUUUGAAUUAGGUAAGCAUGUGAUUGGAGUGUAUUUUUAAUUGCUAGUUUGCAAAUUUCUUACGAUAUUUAUGUACAACUAAAUGCCCAAUAUACAUUUCCUUACAGUAGUAAAGAAAAUUGCUUUCACUCAUUAAAGAGAUUUUUAUACACUUGUGUUGCUUAGUUGUUCUUAUCAAUAAACGAUGCAAUCUAUAAGUUUUUUAUACAUAUUUUGCGACUUUGGUUGUGUUAAAGUUAUCCGUCAAAAACAUGUGUAGACGGAUGCAGAAGGGAGAUCAAGGGUGUUUAUUAGUUUCGUGUUAUAAUCGAAUAUAAGUGGCAUGUAAAAUUAACUUCACAAAAGAUAGUCUUUGAAAGGAACAAGAUGUAGGAUGAGCAAGUAUGUGUUCGAAUGGUUAAAUUCUAAUAUAAUUUUGCUAUUAUAAUGUUGCAUUAAUUUUUCUCUUUAA